rnacentral:piRNA from 1 species
UAGAAUGUUUUAAAUAAAAUAGAGGCACACUA